rnacentral:rRNA from 1 species
UGCCUUUUUCAUAAGCGGAGGAAAAGAAACCAACCGGGAUUGCCUUAGUAACGGCGAGUGAAGCGGCAAAAGCUCAAAUUUGAAAUCUGGUACCUUCGGUGCCCGAGUUGUAAUUUGGAGAGGGCAACUUUGGGGCCGUUCCUUGUCUAUGUUCCUUGGAACAGGACGUCAUAGAGGGUGAGAAUCCCGUGUGGCGAGGAGUGCGGUUCUUUGUAAAGUGCCCUCGAAGAGUCGAGUUGUUUGGGAAUGCAGCUCUAAGUGGGUGGUAAAUUCCAUCUAAAGCUAAAUAUUGGCGAGAGACCGAUAGCGAACAAGUACAGUGAUGGAAAGAUGAAAAGAACUUUGAAAAGAGAGUGAAAAAGUACGUGAAAUUGUUGAAAGGGAAGGGCAUUUGAUCAGACAUGGUGUUUUGUGCCCUCUGCUCCUUGUGGGUAGGGGAAUCUCGCAUUUCACUGGGCCAGCAUCAGUUUUGGUGGCAGGAUAAAUCCAUAGGAAUGUAGCUUGCCUCGGUAAGUAUUAUAGCCUGUUGGGAAUACUGCCAGCUGGGACUGAGGACUGCGACGUAAGUCAAGGAUGCUGGCAUAAUGGUUAUAUGCCGCCCGUCUUGAACCGGGACCCAA